ACCAACGUGGCAUAAUGGUUGGAGCAUUGGACUGAGACUCUGGAGACCAGGGUCCAAUUCCCUGCUUGGCC